CCUGAUCAGAAAGCCCCGGCUACUACGUGCCAGCAGCCGCCGGUAAUAAGUAGGUGGCGAGCGUAUCCGGAAUUAUUGGGCGUAAAGCGCGGCGUAGGCCGGUUUUUUAAGUAUUAUGUGAAAGCCCCCCGGCUCAACCCGCGGAGGGUCGUUGGUAACUGGAGAACUUGAGUGCAGAAGAGGAGAGUGGAAUUCCACGUGUAGCGGUGAAAUGCGCAGAGAUAUGGAGGAACACCAGUGGCGAAGGCGACUUUUUGGUCUGUAACUGACGCUGAUGUGCGAAAGCGUGGGGGAUCAAACAGGAUUAGAUACCCUGGUAGUCCACGCCGUAAACGAUGAGUGCUAAGUGUUAGGGGGUUUCCGCCCCUUAGUGCUGCAGCUAACGCAUUAAGCACUCCGCCUGGGGAGUACGACCGCAAGGUUGAAACUCAAAAGAAUUGACGGGGGCCCGCACAAGCGGUGGAGCAUGUGGUUUAAUUUGAAGCAACGCGAAGAACCUUACCAAAUCUUGACAUCCUUUGACCGCUCUAGAGAUAGAGUUUUCCCCUUUGGGGGACAAAGUGACAGGUGGUGCAUGGUUGUUGUCAGCUUGUGUCGUGAGAUGUUGGGUUAAGUCCCGCAACGAGCGCCACCCUUUAGUUUAGUUGCCCUCAUUAAGUUGGGCCCUUUAAGGUGACUGCCGGGGACAAACCGGAGGAAGGUGGGGAAGACGUCAAAUCAUCAUGCCCCUUAUGAUCUGGGCUUCCCCCGUGCUACAAUGGACAAUACAAAGGGCAGCUAAACCGCGAGGUCAAACAAAUCCCAUAAAGUUGUUUUCAGUUCGGAAUGUCGUUUGCCACUUGGAUACAUGAAACCGGAAUCGCUAGUAAUUGUAGAUCAGCCUGGUCCCGGGAAAUCCUUCCCCGGUCUUGUUCCCCCCCCCCCUCCCCCCCCGAAAAUUGUAACCCCCGAAUCCCGCGGAGCUAACCAAUAUGGAACAACCAGCCGUAGAGUGCCUUCC
rnacentral:rRNA from 1 species